rnacentral:rRNA from 1 species
AUUGAACGCUGGCGUCAGGCCUAACACAUGCAAGUCGAGCGAGCUGCGGACGGUUGCGUAAUGUAUGGGGACUGCCCGAUAGAGGGGGAUCACUACUGGAACCGGUAGCUCAUACCGCUUACUAUCGGAUAACCCAUAUGGGAUUAGCUAGUAUGUGAGGUAAUGGCUCACCUAGGCGCCGAUCCCUAGCUGGUCUGAGAGGAUGAUCAGCCAAACUGGGACUGAGACACGGCCCAGACUCCUACGGAGGCAGCAGUGGGGAAUAUGGCACAAUGGGCGCAAGCCUGAUGCAGCCAUGCCGCGUGUAUGAAGAAGGCCCUAGGGUUGUAAAGUACUUUCAGUCGGGAGGCGUUACCGACAGAAGAAGCACCGGCUAACUCCGGGCCAGCAGACGCGGUAAUUC